UGGGGAAUUUUGGACAAUGGGCGAAAGCCUGAUCCAGCAAUGCCGCGUGUGUGAAGAAGGCCUUCGGGUUGUAAAGCACUUUUGUCCGGAAAGAAAUCCUUGGCUCUAAUACAGUCGGGGGAUGACGGUACCGGAAGAAUAAGCACCGGCUAACUACGUGCCAGCAGCCGCGGUAAUACGUAGGGUGCAAGCGUUAAUCGGAAUUACUGGGCGUAAAGCGUGCGCAGGCGGUUUGCUAAGACCGAUGUGAAAUCCCCGGGCUCAACCUGGGAACUGCAUUGGUGACUGGCAGGCUAGAGUAUGGCAGAGGGGGGUAGAAUUCCACGUGUAGCAGUGAAAUGCGUAGAGAUGUGGAGGAAUACCGAUGGCGAAGGCAGCCCCCUGGGCCAAUACUGACGCUCAUGCACGAAAGCGUGGGGAGCAAACAGGAUUAGAUACCCUGGUAGUCCACGCCCUAAACGAUGUCAACUAGUUGUUGGGAUUCAUUUCCUUAGUAACGUAGCUAACGCGUGAAGUUGACCGCCUGGGGAGUACGGUCGCAAGAUUAAAACUUAAAUGAAUUGACGGGGUCAUAGCUGUUUCCU
rnacentral:rRNA from 1 species